AAAAAAAUCAUUAGACCGUAACGGUAAUUUUACAUAAAAAUCACAUAUUAUUACAGUUUUAAAACUAGCUUCUCUUUAGAAUUAAAUAUCUCGAGUUUUAGUUAUGCCGAAGUCUCAAUUUUGGUGUCGUUGGAAAGAAGCGGCACUCCAAUAACGUGUGAAAAUAUAUAUUUAAUAAUAAAAGUCCUUUUAAUUGGGUUUCAAAGGUUUUACCGAACAUUUCUCAAUGGUAUGACAUAUUUUGCCACAUUGCAUCACCUGCAAAAACGUAAUCAAUUCGUGAUGUUUGGAAUACAUUGCUUGCUUACACUCUA